rnacentral:rRNA from 1 species
AUGCUACAUGAAGAAAAGGCGGUAGCCAUCAAAAGAUUAAUGAAGAAGGGACAAUUGCCUGCACAACUAACAGAAGUGGAUGAGAAUGGUAACCGUUGUCCAACUAAGGAAGCUUUAAUUUCUGCAAAGAAAGUUGACUUUGGUACCAAUGUUGGUUCGUGUCUACUAUGUGAGCAUUGGAGUGGUGCUGAAUUUAGAUGGUUAUCCUUAAGAAACAAGAGGAACAGACUUGCUAAUGGGGAUACAGUCUUCCAUUGCAGCGGUGCGAGAAAUGCUGUCGCCCCACGUCAAUUCCUGACACUCAAAACAGGGAAAGACCCUGCAAUUUCCGGUGCUUGUCUUCACACGCACAAUUUGCAUCGAGGGACCGACGAAGAGAAGAUUUGCAUUCAAAGAACUGCCGAUCGUUGGGAGGAUUUUGAUAAGGCAAUGAAAAAUGCCCAUGAAGAAAAUUGGGAAGAGGAGCACCCAGAUUUAGAUGGACAAAUCGUCUAUGAAGCAGCAGGUAGAAUGCCACAUGGCAGGCUGGGAAUUGCUAAUGAGUUAUUUAGCAAAGCAGAGAAGGUGAAGUUUAAGUCUAAAAGGGUGAUGGCCUCACAACCGGUGCGGUCUGCUAGGGAGGACCGUCUAGAAAGAGAGAACAAACAAUUGAAGCAGGAGAACAAGUGUCUUCGAGGCAUUGAGAUUGUUGUGCAAUCAUUGGCUGAGAAAGGGGGAGUGGACUUUGAUGGCAUAAUGCAAUCAGCUGCGGUUGACUUGUCUACAUCAGAUUCGGAAGGCGGAAUUCAUAGGGGACGAGGUGAUGUGCAUCAAAGCGAACCUGAAAAAGGAAUGGGAAGCAGGACUGGAGGCAGUACCAGUCAUGGAGAUGAUGAUGAGGAUGACUACUAUGGCAGCGAGGGAGAUGAUGACUAUGGCAAGAAUGGUCUAUAUGGUGAUGAGCCAUACUAUGAUGGUGAGGGAUAUAAUGACUAUGAAGAUGAGGAAUAUAAUGAGUAUGACAAUGAUAAUGAUGAUUGGCCAUAA